GAUGAACGCUGGCGGCGUGCCUAAUACAUGCAAGUCGAGCGAACAGACGAGGAGCUUGCUCCUCUGACGUUACCGGCGGACGGGUGAGUAACACGUGGAUAACCUACCUCUAAGACUUGGAUAACUUCGGGAAACCGGAGCUAAUACCAGAUAAUAUAUUUAACCGCAUGGUUCAAUAGUGAAAGACGGGUUUGCUGUCACUUCUCGAUGGAUCCGCGCCUCAUUAGCUAGUUGGUAAGGUAACGGCUUAACAAGGGAACGGUGCGUAGCCGACCUGAGGGGGUGAAGCGGCACACAGGAGGUGAGACACGGUACAGACUCCUACGGGAGGCAGCGGUAGGGAAUCGUCCGCGCUGGGGGGAAGCCUGACGGAGCAACGCAGCGCGAGUGAUGAAGGGCUGCGGACCGUAUGACGCUGUUAGUAGGGAAGAACGAAUGCGUAAGUAACGAUGCACGUCUUGACGGUACCUAAUCAGAAAGCCACGGCUAACUACGUG
rnacentral:rRNA from 1 species